rnacentral:rRNA from 1 species
GUGGGGAAUAUUGCGCAAUGGGGGAAACCCUGACGCAGCGACGCCGUGUGAGGGAAGAAGGCUUUCGGGUCGUAAACCUCUGUCAGAAAGGAAGAACCUCCCAAGUCCGAAUAGGGCUUGGGACUGACGGUACUUUCAAAGGAAGCACCGGCUAACUCCGUGCCAGCAGCCGCGGUAAUACGGAGGGUGCAAGCGUUAAUCGGAAUCACUGGGCGUAAAGCGCGCGUAGGCCGCUUUGUAAGUCGGACGUGAAAGCCCUCGGCUCAACCGGGGAACUGCGUUCGAUACUGCGAGGCUUGAGUCCUGGAGAGGGUGGCGGAAUUCCGGGUGUAGGAGUGAAAUCCGUAGUUAUCCGGAGGAACACCGGUGGCGAAGGCGGCCACCUGGACAGGUACUGACGCUGAGGCGCGAAAGCGUGGGGAGCAAACAGGAUUAGAUACCCCUGUAGUCC